UCGGGAAUUUUUGGCAAUGGGGGAAACCCUGACCCAGCAACGCCGCGUGAAGGAUGAAGUAUUUCGGUAUGUAAACUUCGAAAGAAUAGGAAGAAUAAAUGACGGUACUAUUUAUAAGGUCCGGCUAACUACGUGCCAGCAGCCGCGGUAAUACGUAGGGACCAAGCGUUGUUCGGAUUUACUGGGCGUAAAGGGCGCGUAGGCGGCAUGACAAGUCACUUGUGAAAUCUCUGGGCUUAACCCAGAACGGCCAAGUGAUACUGUCGCGCUAGAGUGCAGAAGGGGCAAUCGGAAUUCUUGGUGUAGCGGUGAAAUGCGUAGAUAUCAAGAGGAACACCUGAGGUGAAGACGGGUUGCUGGGCUGACACUGACGCUGAGGCGCGAAAGCCAGGGGGAGCAAACGGGAUUAGAUACCCAAGUAGUCCCUGAGCGGGCUGGCAAGGCGCAU
rnacentral:rRNA from 1 species